AGCAGCAUGGCGCAGUCUGGAAGCGCGCGGGGCCCAUAAGGCAUCUUCGAAACCCCGAGGUCACUCGAUCGAAACGAGUUGCUGCUA